rnacentral:rRNA from 1 species
UCCUCCCUCUGGCGGCGUGCUUAACACAUGCAAGUCGAGCGGAAAGGCCCUUCGGGGUACUCGAGCGGCGAACGGGUGAGUAACACGUGAGUAACCUGCCCCAGACUUUGGGAUAACCCUCGGAAACGGGGGCUAAUACCGGAUACGACACAGCUUCGCAUGGGGUCUGUGUGGAAAGUUUUUCGGUUUGGGAUGGGCUCGCGGCCUAUCAGCUUGUUGGUGGGGUGAUGGCCUACCAAGGCGACGACGGGUAGCCGGCCUGAGAGGGCGACCGGCCACACUGGGACUGAGACACGGCCCAGACUCCUACGGGAGGCAGCAGUGGGGAAUAUUGCACAAUGGGCGGAAGCCUGAUGCAGAGACGCCGCGUGAGGGAUGACGGCCUUCGGGUUGUAAACCUCUUUCAGCAGGGACGAAGCGUAAGUGACGGUACCUGCAGAAGAAGCGCCGGCCAACUACGUG